AUUGAACGCUGGCGGCAGGCUUAACACAUGCAAGUCGAACGAGUGGCGGACGGGUGAGUAAUGCCUGGGAAUCUGCCUUCUGGAGGGGGAUAACUACUGGAAACUGUAGCUAAUACCGCGUACCAUAGGAUGAGCCCAAGGGGGAUUAGGUAGUUGGUGGGGUAACGGCUCACCCAGCCGACGAUCCCUAGCUGGUCUGAGAGGAUGACCAGCCACACGGGGACUGAGACACGGCCCAGACUCCUACGGGAGGCAGCAGUGGGGAAUAUUGCACAAUGGGCGAAAGCCUGAUGCAGCCAUGCCGCGUGUAUGAAGAAGGCCUUAGGGUUGUAAAGUACUUUCAGCGGGGAGGCGUUACCCGCAGAAGAAGCACCGGCUAACUCCGUGCCAGCAGCCGCGGUAAUAC
rnacentral:rRNA from 1 species